CAACAGGGAUUGCCUUAGUAACGGCGAGUGAAGCGGCAAAAGCUCAAAUUUGAAAUCUGGCACCUUCGGUGUCCGAGUUGUAAUUUGAAGAAGGUAACUUUGGAGUUGGCUCUUGUCUAUGUUCCUUGGAACAGGACGUCACAGAGGGUGAGAAUCCCGUGCGAUGAGAUGCCCAAUUCUAUGUAAAGUGCUUUCGAAGAGUCGAGUUGUUUGGGAAUGCAGCUCUAAGUGGGUGGUAAAUUCCAUCUAAAGCUAAAUAUUGGCGAGAGACCGAUAGCGAACAAGUACAGUGAUGGAAAGAUGAAAAGAACUUUGAAAAGAGAGUGAAAAAGUACGUGAAAUUGUUGAAAGGGAAGGGCUUGAGAUCAGACUUGGUAUUUUGCGAUCCUUUCCUUCUUGGUUGGGUUCCUCGCAGCUUACUGGGCCAGCAUCGGUUUGGAUGGUAGGAUAAUGACUAAGGAAUGUGGCUCUACUUCGGUGGAGUGUUAUAGCCUUGGUUGAUACUGCCUGUCUAGACCGAGGACUGCGUCUUUGACUAGGAUGCUGGCAUAA
rnacentral:rRNA from 1 species